UUCGCCCUUAGAGUUUGNUCAUGGCUCAGGAUGAACGCUAGCGGCAGGCCUAACACAUGCAAGUCGAGGGGUAACAGGGAUUGCUUGCAAUCCGCUGACGACCGGCGCACGGGUGCGUAACGCGUAUGCAACCUACCUUUUACAGGGGGAUAGUCAAUAGAAAUGUUGAAUAAUACCCCAUACGAUCGUUUAUUGGCAUCGAUAAGCGAGGAAAACUCCGGUGGUAAAAGAUGGGCAUGCGUCCUAUUAGCUAGAUGGUGAGGUAACGGCUCACCAUGGCUACGAUAGGUAGGGGUCCUGAGAGGGAGAUCCCCCACACUGGUACUGAGACACGGACCAGACUCCUACGGGAGGCAGCAGUGAGGAAUAUUGGACAAUGGAGGCAACUCUGAUCCAGCCAUGCCGCGUGCAGGAAGACGGCCCUAUGGGUUGUAAACUGCUUUUAUACAGGAAGAAUGUUAUCUACGUGUAGAUAUUUGACGGUACUGUACGAAUAAGGAUCGGCUAACUCCGUGCCAGCAGCCGCGGUAAUACGGAGGAUCCAAGCGUUAUCCGGAAUCAUUGGGUUUAAGGGUCCNCAGGCGGUUCAUUAAGUCAGAGGUGAAAUCCUGCCGCUCAAC
rnacentral:rRNA from 1 species